CACGUAGGCACCAAGCGUUUGUCCGGAAUUAUUGGGCGUAAAGAGCUCGUAGGCGGUUUGUUGCGUCGGCUGUGAAAUCCCGAGGCUCAACCUCGGGUCUGCAGUCGAUACGAGCAAACUAGAGUGUUGCAGGGGAGACUGGAAUUCCUGGUGUAGCGGUGAAAUGCGCAGAUAUCAGGAGGAACACCGGUGGCGAAGGCGGGGUCUCUGGGCAACAACUGACGCUGGAGGAGCGAAAGCGUGGGGAGCGAACAGG
rnacentral:rRNA from 1 species